rnacentral:rRNA from 1 species
AUUGAACGCUGGCGGCAGGCCUAACACAUGCAAGUCGAACGGUAACAGGAAACAGCUUGCUGUUUCGCUGACGAGUGGCGGACGGGUGAGUAAUGUCUGGGAAACUGCCUGAUGGAGGGGGAUAACUACUGGAAACGGUAGCUAAUACCGCAUAACGUCGCAAGACCAAAGAGGGGGACCUUCGGGCCUCUUGCCAUCGGAUGUGCCCAGAUGGGAUUAGCUAGUAGGUGGGGUAACGGCUCACCUAGGCGACGAUCCCUAGCUGGUCUGAGAGGGUGACCAGCCACACUGGAACUGAGACACGGUCCAGACUCCUACGGGAGGCAGCAGUGGGGAAUAUUGCACAAUGGGCGCAAGCCUGAUGCAGCCAUGCCGCGUGUAUGAAGAAGGCCUUCGGGUUGUAAAGUACUUUCAGCGGGGAGGAAGGGAGUAAAGUUAAUACCUUUACUCAUUGACGUUACCCGCAGAAGAAGCACCGGCUAACUCCGUG